CUGGCUCAGAACGAACGCUGGCGGCGUGCUUAACACAUGCAAGUCGAACGCGAAAGGGGACUUCGGUCCUGAGUAAAGUGGCGGCACGGGUGAGUAACGCGUAGAUAACCUGUCUUCAUGUCUGGAAUAAUACGCCGAAAGGGGUACUAAUACCGGAUAUUCUUUGCUUUUCAUAAGUUAUGCAAGCAAAGGUGGCCUCUGCAUAUGCUACUGCAUGAAGAGGGGUCUGCGUACCAUUAGCUAGUAGGUGGGGUAAUGGCCUACCUAGGCGACGAUGGUUAGCGGGUCUGAGAGGAUGAUCCGCCACACUGGCACUGGAACACGGGCCAGACUCCUACGGGAGGCAGCAGUGAGGAAUAUUGCGCAAUGGGGGAAACCCUGACGCAGCGACGCCGCGUGAAGUGAGGAAGGCCUUCGGGUCGUAAAGCUCUGUCAAGAGGAAAGAAGUGUACAAUGGCUAAUACCUGUUGUAUUUGACGGUACCUCUAAAGGAAGCACCGGCUAACUCCGUGCCAGCCGCUGC
rnacentral:rRNA from 1 species